rnacentral:lncRNA from 1 species
UUCUCUGACUUGGUGGAUUUCGGAAGACCAUGCCCUUCACUGUGUCCUCCCCUGAUGGCCAUAUGGGCUUCCAAGUGGAGAUGAAGAGAACCAUAUCCUUCCUUCGUUAGAGCAAGAAGUCAGGCUCCCCCUUGAAGUGAAUCUGCGAAAACAACAUGGAAGUAAAGGUCAGGAGCUGUUUCAAACAUGGGGCCCCAGCUGUGUUGCCAAUAGCCUCUAGGUGAGACCUGGAGGAUCACUUCUACAAAGGUGUGAAGAUCUUGGUAUCUCUAAAAGAGCAGUGGAUUUGGAGUCAAAGUGUUUGAAUAUUAACUCUUCCAAUUUCUUGUGUGAUCUUGGACCACCUUUCCUGCUUCUAGUCCAGCCCAGACAUCCAUCAUCUGGGGAUACAACUCCUGUGGAUAAGAAGUCAGCCAUCCUCACCACCUAUCAACCAACUGCCACAAGCUGGCCUCACUAAAGCAACAAAUGACUCUGAGAGUGACAGGAGGCAGAAUGUGCCAGGUGGGUCAAAGAACCACUCUCCUAUAUUGACUACCACCUCCACUUAGAUCUU